rnacentral:rRNA from 1 species
AGUGAACGCUGGCGGUAGGCCUAACACAUGCAAGUCGAACGGCAGCACAGUAAGAGCUUGCUCUUACGGGUGGCGAGUGGCGGACGGGUGAGGAAUACAUCGGAAUCUACUUUUUCGUGGGGAAUAACGUAGGGAAACUUACGCUAAUACCGCAUACGACCUACGGGUGAAAGCAGGGGAUCUUCGGACCUUGCGCGAUUGAAUGAGCCGAUGUCGGAUUAGCUAGUUGGCGGGGUAAAGGCCCACCAAGGCGACGAUCCGUAGCUGGUCUGAGAGGAUGAUCAGCCACACUGGAACUGAGACACGGUCCAGACUCCUACGGAAGGCAGCAGUGGGGAAUAUUGGACAAUGGGCGCAAGCCUGAUCCAGCCAUACCGCGUGGGUGAAGAAGGCCUUCGGGUUGUAAAGCCCUUUUGUUGGGAAAGAAAAGCAGCAGGUUAAUACCCCGCUGUUCUGACGGUACCCAAAGAAUAAGCACCGGCUAACUUCGUG